UACGGAGGAUCCUAGCGUUGUCCGGAUUUAUUGGGUUUAAAGGGUGCGUAGGCGGAUUACUAAGUCAGAGGUGAAAGCCGGCAGCUUAACUGUCGAAUUGCCUUUGAAACUGGUAGUCUUGAAUACUGUUGAGGUGGGCGGAAUGUAUCAUGUAGCGGUGAAAUGCUUAGAUAUGAUACAGAACACCGAUUGCGAAGGCAGCUCACUAAGCAGUUAUUGACGCUGAGGCACGAAAGCGUGGGGAUCAAACAGGAUUAGAAACCCCCGUAGUCC
rnacentral:rRNA from 1 species